rnacentral:rRNA from 1 species
UUAAUUGAAGAGUUUGAUCAUGGCUCAGAUUGAACGCUGGCGGCAGGCCUAACACAUGCAAGUCGGGCGGUAACAGGGAGAAGCUUGCUUCUCUGCUGACGAGCGGCGGACGGGUGAGUAAUGUAUGGGGAUCUGCCUGAUGGCGGGGGAUAACUACUGGAAACGGUAGCUAAUACCGCAUAAU